GAUGAACGCUGGCGGCGUGCCUAAUACAUGCAAGUAGAACGCUGAAGGAGGAGCUUGCUCUUCUGGAUGAGUUGCGAACGGGUGAGUAACGCGUAGGUAACCUGCCUGGUAGCGGGGGAUAACUAUUGGAAACGAUAGCUAAUACCGCAUGACAACAGUUAUUGCAUGAUAACUGUUUAAAAGGGGCAACUGCUCCACUACCAGAUGGACCUGCGUUGUAUUAGCUAGUUGGUGAGGUAACGGCUCACCAAGGCGACGAUACAUAGCCGGCCUGAGAGGGGGGUCGGCCCCCCUGGGACUGAGACACGGCCCAGACUCCUACGGGAGGCAGCAGUAGGGAAUCUUCGGCAAUGGACGGAAGUCUGACCGAGCAACGCCGCGUGAGUGAAGAAGGUUUUCGGAUCGUAAAGCUCUGUUGUAAGAGAAGAACGAGUGUGAGAGUGGAAAGUUCACACUGUGACGGUAUCUUACCAGAAAGGGACGGCUAACUACGUG
rnacentral:rRNA from 1 species